UACAGAGACUGCAAGCGUUAUUCGGAUUCACUGGGCGUAAAGGGUGCGCAGGCGGCCGUGUGUGUUAGGUGUGAAAGCCCGGGGCUUAACCCCGGAAUUGCGCCUAAAACUACACGGCUAGAGUAUUGGAGAGGGUAGCGGAAUUCACGGUGUAGCAGUGAAAUGCGUAGAUAUCGUGAGGAACACCAGAGGCGAAGGCGGCUACCUGGACAAUUACUGACGCUCAGGCACGAAAGCGUGGGGAGCAAAAGGG
rnacentral:rRNA from 1 species